rnacentral:lncRNA from 1 species
GCAUUUCUUACUUAUGAAGUAAGUAGCUGAUCUCACGAGCUAAAGUGUGGUGACACUUAAAUGAACAUGUGGAUGUUUUGUUGUAGAACAAAACAUUGGAGACCCGCUAAGAGAUUCCACAUGGAUAACUAUCUGAAUGUCAGUGGCUAAUGUCUAACGUUCGGUAGUGGGAUUGAUCCUUUAACUUGAGGUCGUCAUAGUACCCUAUAUGAGGAUAGUCAUACUUUGGCGGUGUUGGAUGUUGCUCUGAAAGGGGCCGCUAAUACGACAUCGUUCGGGUACGUCAAGAAUCGUAUGAAGGUUGUGAUUGAUCAAUAAAGGAUUCGUCACUCUUAGAUAGUAGGAGAUAAUCUGCGUUUCAUUCAAUUAAGUCGAUGAUGAAAUCCUUGGCCAAGGUGUACUCAUAAGUCGAAAAGGAGUUUUCGAUUUAUAUUGACUUAAUAGUGGAACGAAAGAUAUGAUCGAUGAUCGAGAUUGACACAAUUCCAU